AAAGUACCACACCGUCUCUGAUAGAACUCCCGCAGCACCUCGUUAGUUGAGCGGAUAUGACGUAAUCUUCCCUAUAUAAACCCCGGUGAGGGCUGUUCUCGCUCUCUCUGUCUGCUGCUCUAUCUUCGUGUUGUGCAGCUGUUUCAAAGCGUGGCGCUCACUCCUGAAGCUCGCCCCUGGUGGUCACACUGCACGUAGAGUGAGGCUGCUUUGCGCAUGCUCGGACCUUGCCACAUACCUUCAUCUCUCGAGGAAACUUUCUACAACCCAUGGAUUCCUCUAUCUAUUUGCAGAGCACCCCGGCUAUGAUUGCAAGGAUUUUCUGCACAGUGUGUAAUGAUGGUGGUCUCGUCAGAUGGUGUUGGAAAAUGCCUAGGUGAAGGUUUGAUCAUGCUGCUCUGUCCUAAUUAAAUACACUGAGGUUUGGUGUAAUCCUGACCUGUAUGGAUGGUGAGCUGGACUGCUAGAUGAUUUGUAUGUCUCUCAAUGGACCUGGAUGUGCUCUUGACGAGGGAGAUGCAGUCUUCAGUUUGGGGAGUUUGAAGAGGACUCUGGAGGGGUAGAAAGAAGAGGAAAUGAACACUGUGUUCAACCCCACACAGCCCUAGCGUUUCAUAAGAUUGACCUGUCAAGACUGAGUUUUCUUUUAGAUUCAAUGUGACGUAUAAACUGUUUGCAGCUUGAGGGCAAGAUGAAGUACACGAGAAAUUUUGACCAAGAUGUCACAAGUUCCUGCAAUUGAAGAGCUUUGUUCAUGCACUGCUACUAUUUUUCAGUCAAUAAAUAUCUGCAAAUGUGCAGUACACCCAUUUGUUGGGUUUAAUUUGUUAAAGGAAAAAUGUUAUGAGUGGGGAAAAUGAGUCAUGUGUACUGUACAUUUUAAUUGGUUACUGAACCUCCAAAACCCAGCAAUAAGUUUAAUCUGGU